UUAACUCUCUUCCUCUCUUCUCCAAAAUCUGCCGCACCUCCCAAUCUCUCUUCUCGAUUUUCUUCUCCGGCCAGCGCAGUCGGCGAACCACUGGAGGUAGCCGCCUCUCUCUCCAGUCGUCUUUCCCCUUCGCCUUCUCUUCUUCCCCCCGUCUCCUCUUUCUCCUCGUCUGUCCAGCGGCCAGCGAGGACGAGCAGCCAGCAGCCGCCUGGACAACAACAACAAAGACAUUGUUGUUCAGGCCAGUGACCGGCUAACAUCGGCGCCUCCAGCCGGCGAAGCCCCUUCGCCUCUUCUCUUCUCUUUCCGGCGAGGAUGAGCGACAACAACGAGGCAGCAGUAGCCGCCGGCAAACGACACCAACAGUGCUCCGAUAAACAGCCGGUGGGAACCAGCCGAUUAGCGAAACUCUUUGUCCCUCUCCUCCCUUUCUUGGGGAAGUCCGGCAACUGGUGAAGCCACCAGCGAAAGAGCAGUAGCAGCCGGCGACAACCAGCAGCUCUGGACUAGCGAAAAAAGCUCCUGGCAGUGGCUACGAAAUCAACAACAACGAUAAGAUGCUCACUACAAGGUUCCGACCAAGGACCAAAAUGGAAAAAAAGUGACCGGUACAUCUUUCUUUUAUCAAGCUCAAGUCUUUAUGCAUGUUGGUAUGAAAAUGCGAUCUGUAGGUUGUUUGCCUCAAUGUUUAUUUUAAGAAUCUCGAACUCUAAUGUGUGGUUGCUUGUUUUAUAUUGUUUCUUCUGCUCAAGUUCAUGUGCAACUAGUUGAACAUUAUACUUAGAAUAUUAUAUGUCAAUUCAUGAUUUCUUAAGAGAAAAGGUUAUGAUUUUCUGCUCAAAUUCAUAUUGCUAUCUGCUUGUGGUCAAGUUAUGAAGUCUGUUGAUAAGUUUGAACUCUUAACCGGUGGGUUUCAUAUUUCUUUGUUUAUAUAUGAGAGAACUUAUUUUGUGAAUUUCCUUGACUGGUUUCUUCCUUAUAAAUCAUUGUUUUGGCCAUAAUUAAUCAAGGACCGUAUUAUUUUCCCUAAAAUAAUUAUUUGAUUUUCCUUAAUUAUCGAGAUAUUGCUCUUAGUCAAUUAAUGCCUUAAUAUUGUGUGUAAACAGGUCAAUCUGAUAUUAUUUUUUUCUCAUAUUUGGCUAAGUUAGCAUCUUGACUAAUUUCUUAAUUUGCUAAAAUAAUUAUAAACUUGUUCAAGGCUUUCUCUUGCUCUGAGGACGAGAUUUAGUCUUCCAUAAAUUGUUGUUGUCUAUGCUUAAUUUACUGGAAUCCUCUCUUUGCCUACGGUAAGACAUUAAUUAGUAAAUAAAGCAUGUGAGUUUUAAUUCUUGUGAUGGUUAUUUCUUUCCUUUUAAACUUAUUUUUGCUGAUUUUAAAUUAAUACCUCCUUGCCUUAUUUAUUUGUAGACAAAUUCGUACUUGUUCUAUUCUUGGUAAAAUUUUGACCGAAUCACGAGGCAUUAGUAAUUAUCUUUUUAGUCUUUAUUUUUGGUAGCUAAAAUUUUAAUUUGUUUCCUUUCCUUAUACUUGCGGACUGAUUUUGGCCUCCUUUUAAAUAAGGAAAAUUGUUUUUUAAUUGGUGGAAUUAUAUUCUUUUCCUUCUAUGCCAGUCCAUUCUUGGACUAUAUAAAGAUAGACCCUCAUUCUUAUUUAGAUACGCUUCAACACUUUGAACCAAAAAAAAGUAGUACUCUCUACUCUAAAAGAAGUCCGGUGAACAUUCUAAGAGGUGCUUUCUUUAUUCGGUUUUGCGGUGUUCGUGUCGAUAAUUGGAUUAAGCUUGUCUUCAUUGUUGUUUAAUUAAACUGCUUAAACGGUUAGUGAUUUUAUGUAUUUUAACUUUCUGUUUGCAGCAAUGUUAUUUACUUUUAUUCACAAGUUAAGUGUAUGAAUAAAAUAAAAAGGAAGCAUCCGAGUCAGUUCUCUUCUCCUUUUCUAUAUGUGUGAUUGUAUGUGCGUAAUAUGUUGCUUGAAUUAUUGUGUGUAUGCCCUAUUCUGCCUGGGUACAUUAAAAUAUAUAUUAUUAUGUGUGCUUUGUAUUAUACUUGUGUUGUAUUGAUUUCUUCCGUUUAGCAGGGUGUGUAACAUUGAGUUCUAGUUUGAAGAGUUGCCAGGGAUGGAAUUCCGGACGGGAUUUAGUUCUAUUUACAUUCGUAUUUGUCAUAUUUGUAUAAUUUUUAUUCAGUCAUGUAAUAGUUGUAUUAGCUCUUCUAACUCUCCAUAGAUAUAUAUGAAAUAUUUGUGGGAUCCUCUAAGGGGGAGAGGUUAUAUGUGCUAACUGCUUUUCUUUAUUCAUUUAAUUAUGUGCGGAUGCAUCUAAGAUUAAUUGAUCUUUUGAAUAUAAUUAUCUUGUUUCUAAAUCUAAUAACUUAAUUUCUUCGACC
rnacentral:lncRNA from 1 species